rnacentral:rRNA from 1 species
GAUGAACGCUGGCGGCGUGCCUAACACAUGCAAGUCGAACGGAGUCGUUUUGGUAAUCUCUUCGGUGAUGGACUUCUCGACUUAUUGUCGGUCGGGUGAUUCACGCUUGAGCAAUCUGACGUCCAGAGGGGGAUAACAGUCGGAAACGGCUGCUAAUACCGCAUAAAGCAUUUAAUUCGCAUGCUCUUGAUGCCAAAGGAGCAAUCCGCUUUUAGAUGAGCUCGCGUCAGAUUCGCCAGUUGGCGGGGUAACGUCCCACCAAGGCGACGAUAAGUAGCCGGACUGAGCGGUUGAACGGCCACGAUUGGACUGAGACACGGCCGAGGCUCCUACGGGAGGCAGCAGUGGGGAAUAUUGCGCAAUGGGGGAGACCCUGACGCAGCAACGCCGCGUGAUUGAAGAAGGAAUUCGGGUUGUAAAGAACUUUAAUCAGGGACGAAACAAAUGACGGUACCUAAAGAAUAAGCUCCGGCUAACUACGUG